rnacentral:rRNA from 1 species
CUAUGCGCCUUGCCCAGCCCGCUCAGGUGUGCCAGCCGCCGCGGUAAUACGGAGGGUGCAAGCGUUAAUCGGAAUUACUGGGCGUAAAGCGCACGCAGGCGGUUUGUUAAGUCAGAUGUGAAAUCCCCGGGCUCAACCUGGGAACUGCAUCUGAUACUGGCAAGCUUGAGUCUCGUAGAGGGGGGUAGAAUUCCAGGUGUAGCGGUGAAAUGCGUAGAGAUCUGGAGGAAUACCGGUGGCGAAGGCGGCCCCCUGGACGAAGACUGACGCUCAGUGCGAAAGCGUGGGAGCAAACAGG